GAUGAACGCUGGCGGCGUGCCUAAUACAUGCAAGUCGAGCGAACGGACGAGAAGCUUGCUUUUCUGAUGUUAGCGGCGGACGGGCGAGUAACAAGUGGAUAACCUACCUAUAAGACUGGGCUAACUUCGGGAAACCGGAGCUAAUACCGGAUAAUAUUUUGUACCGCACGGUUCAAAAGUGAAAGACGGUCUUGCUGUCACUUAUAGAUGGAUCCGCGCUGCAUUAGCUAGUUGGUAAGGUAACGGCAUACGAAGGCAACGAUGCUUAGCCGACCUGAGAGGGUGAUCGGCCAGACGGUAAGAGAGGGAGGGUCCCGACUCCUGCGGGAGGCAACAGUCGGGAAUCUUCCGCGAGGGAGGAGAGCGUGAUGGAGCGACGCGGCGGGAGUGAUGAAGGUCUUCGGAUGGGAGAGCGCUGAAGGUAGGGAGGAAGAUAUGUGUAAGUAACGGUGCACAUCUUGACGGUACUUGAUCAGAAAGCCACGGCUAACUACGUG
rnacentral:rRNA from 1 species